GGACCUUCUCGUGCUUGGUCUGUGGUUCUACCCAGGCCUCUAGUCUAUUCUGGAGAGGUGGCUGGGCUUGGUGUCCCUGGCAUGGCUGUCCACACUCUGCCAGCUGGUUUGGAUGCAGUUUGUCCCCUAAGGAUUCCUGUGUUGACAGCUUGGUUCCCUGUGUGCUGUGGUGAGAUGUGGUAGGACCUUGAAGAGGUUCUCUAUGCUGCUAUGACCGUCUGACCUGCCCUCCACCCCUCCUUGGUAAACUGCCUCCCCCAGAUGAUGGCAGCCCAGCUUUGACUACCUGUGGCACCUACUUGUAUGAUGCAGCUGAAGGUGAUCUUUGCUGGUACUUUGAACCAUUGUCAUUAUGUGACCAUUGUCAUUAAAACAAACCCUUUAAAAAAUCGAUC